UACAGAGGGUGCAAGCGUUAAUCGGAAUUACUGGGCGUAAAGCGUGCGUAGACGGUUAUGUAAGUCGGGUGUGAAAGCCCCGGGCUCAACCUGGGAAUGCCAUUCGAGACUGCAUAGCUAGGGUGCGGAAGAGGGAAGCGGAAUUUCCGGUGUAGCGGUGAAAUGCGUAGAUAUCGGGAAGGAACACCAGUGGCGAAAAGCGGCUUC
rnacentral:rRNA from 1 species